rnacentral:lncRNA from 1 species
UAAAAUCAUACCACGAAGUUUAUGGGUAAUAUAAAGCAAUAUCCUAUUAUGAGAGAAGUUUCAUUAUGCUUGUUAAUUUGUAGUCACUUAAGUGGGCAAUUGGUUAGUGUUGUGGAAUUAUUGUUCCCAUAUGUUGUAAGGAUGUAUCUGAUUUUGGUGUAAAUUCAUUCACCUAAAGGUGGUGUUGUUUUUUCUUUUUUCUAUAUUAAAAUUAGAGGGUAGCACA